rnacentral:rRNA from 1 species
AUUGAACGCUGGCGGCAGGCUUAACACAUGCAAGUCGAGCGGGGGAAGGUAGCUUGCUACCGGACCUAGCGGCGGACGGGUGAGUAAUGCUUAGGAAUCUGCCUAUUAGUGGGGGACAACAUCUCGAAAGGGAUGCCAAUACCGCAUACGUCCUACGGGAGAAAGCAGGGGAUCUUCGGACCUUGCGCUAAUAGAUGAGCCUAAGUCGGAUUAGCUAGUUGGUGGGGUAAAGGCCUACCAAGGCGACGAUCUGUAGCGGGUCUGAGAGGAUGAACCGCCACAAUGGGACUGAGACACGGCCCAGACUCCUACGGGAGGCAGCAGUGGGGAAUAUUGGACAAUGGGGGGAACCCUGAUCCAGCCAUGCCGCGUGUGUGAAGAAGGCCUUAUGGUUGUAAAGCACUUUAAGCGAGGAGGAGGCUACUUUAGUUAAUACCUAGAGAUAGUGGACGUUACUCGCAGAAUAAGCACCGGCUAACUCUGUGCCAGCCGCCGCAGUAA